GCUCCUGUAGCCCAAUUGGAAGAAGGCCACUACCUUAAACGUAGUUCAGUACUGGUUCAAACCCAGUCAGGAGCA
rnacentral:tRNA from 1 species